rnacentral:rRNA from 1 species
AAUCAACGCUGGCGGCGUGCCUAACACAUGCAAGUCGAACGCGAAAGCCCCUUCGGGGUAAGUAGAGUGGCGUCCGGGUGAGUAACACGUGGGUAAUCUACCUUCGGGUGGGAAUAACUCAGGGAAACUUGAGCUAAUACCGCAUAAUAGCAGCGGCACCUAAUGGUGAUUAGUUGUUAAAGCGGGGAUCGCAAGACCUCGCGCCUGAAGAGGAGCCUGCGGCAGAUUAGCAGUUGGUGAGGUAAUGGCUCACCAAGGCUUCGAUCUGUAGCUGGUCUGAGAGGACGGCCAGCCACACUGGCACUGACACACGGGCCAGACUCCUACGGGAGGCAGCAGUGGGGAAUUUUGGGCAAUGGGCGAAAGCCUGACCCAGCAACGCCGCGUGAGGGAGG